AAGAUUAAACGGAGUUUCUCUCAUUAAAGCUUUACAAAUACCCUUUAAAUCCUAGUGCUUUUAAUGUAUGAGACAGCUGUGGAUGGCCCAGUACGCAGCCUAUGUGUACAGCACCCUACAGGACAAAAUAUGUAUGACUUGAGUAGUCACUGCGUGCAGCUGAAAAUGAGUGUAGUGUCACAGGAGGUUAUUUGAGGAUGAAUUGAAUAUGUUCCAGGGGAAUGUUUCUGGGGAAGUCUCUUGUUUCUAGACUGUCCUGGUGCUCUGUGGACAGGCUCCCGGCCGUGUGUUGUCUGUGCAGGUGUCCAGCAGGCCCCUUCCUCUUCUUUAUUUAUUUAUGUCCUCUUAAGGUUUGAUUACAGAACUCUCCGGUAGACAUGUGGUACCCCACCUUACUGUUUAACUACAGCAGCAGUUUGCAGCUGCUUAGUUUUGUAGGUUGUACAAAGAUAGCGUUCUUUUUUACCACAGAGAGUGUCUGUCUCCCAAAGGUGAUGUUGUCUUUAAGCACAGAGUGUGCCUUUUGAAGUCAUGGUAUUUCAAACCCUUUUUUUCUUGCAGCUUUGUGUUUCAAAGAGCCCAGGCAGGUUUGUGACGUACACUGAUGUUCAGGCGUCCUACAGAUACAAACGUGAUCAGUGGAAUUACUUCAAGCAGUUCUGCAAGCCUCAUGUUAACAGUCCUCACAAGGUCUGUAUGUAUCAGGAGGUGAUGGAAUACUUCCAUGUGGUUGCAGCACUGUGGCAAGUGUCCUUUAGUACUUAAGUACUCCAUAGCAGUAGAGCAGAGUGUCUCAAACCAGUUCUUAAGGCUCCUGAGUCAUAUAGAGCUCCUCAGUAAUUCAGCUAGGAAAAGAAGUCUGUCUUUCAUGGAAGUGAUUUUGGACUCAAAUGUACUGUGUUAUUUCUCCUAUCUCUAAACCACCUUGCAAUUCAGCUAUGUUAGUUGUGUUAAAUUCUUACUCUAAGAGAAAAGCACGGGGGAAGCGAGCAACGAUCACCCAGUCAUUACUGCCUCACCUGCCGAUCCAAAGUGAACAGGUCUUUUCUGUCACUAGAAAAGUAAAGAAUAGUCUCUUCCCAAAUCACAUUGAGAGAGGUUGGAUUCUCACAUCAUGAAUGUGUCUUGCAGCUCCACCAGUCAAGUUUGGGAAGGAGGCCUCAGAGUCCAUUUUGGGGCAUUUUCUCAGAGUGUGUAAGAAACAAAAUUAAGUUAUUCUGCUGUGUAUUCAGCAUUCCGAUAUUUCCCCUUUUUAGUCUGCUGCUCAAGUCCUUCAUGAUGAAGAUUGUCCUUCGAUGAUCAUUCCAAGCAGGCCUUGUGAGUGGUUCUAUUUCUUACACACAUCGUAGCAGAUUGGAAGCAUUCACAUGAGAGCACAGCUCCAGUCUGAAAAGUGUUUUGUGACAAGAUCACGAGGCACUGACUGUUACCUAGCAGUGGUACCCAUUCAGUUUUAAACAAUUUGAAAGUAUAAAGAUUUAGUAUUAUUUUCUCUAGAGAGCCAUCCAUGGACACUCGGAGUGUGAUUGGGUCAAACUGAGCUCUUUCUUGCUCUUAAAUUAUCACUGAUAAGAAAUGCUUUACAGCGCAAACUGUGCCUUCCAAAACAUGUGAGCACCCAACCCAGCCCAAGCUGUUGGCAUGAAGGAAAUGCCAUGACUGUAGGAAGGCUCAUCUGGGCAGCUGUUGAAGUUCAGAAUGUCUAGUGAUAGUGGCUGGUGCUGAAGCUCACCUGGCAUAUGAGGAACUGACACUUGCUGUUAUGUAUUGUUUUGGGUGCUAAUACCAUUUGUGAAGAAGAAGCUGCAGUUUUUGCUGGCUGCCCAGAUACUGACAGAGACUCUGAAGAGAUGCUUCCCGGACUUCUCCACGAAGAAUGGUGUGCUAACCAUGGCAAAUCAAACUAUGUUCAAAGAUGGAAGAGGGAAAACAAGAAAUGUAACCGAUCUCAGGGAAGCUGCAAAGUAGGUUUUACCCUUCUUUAGUGCUUGCGUGUUGGAUUCCAAGACUGUGAAAUAAUUUAGGAAUUGAAAAAAAAGAUCAGAAUCUGUUGCAGCAAAUGGCUGAGGGUACCCAGACAAGACUUGCUAGUAGAUGGUUUCUGUGCCUGAGCACUUGCAAAGUUCCAGUAGGGAAAACCAUCACUGUGGUAUGCAGAAGUGAGCAAGGAGCCAAAAGCUUUAGUGUGCCUCAGAAUGACUGUCAGUUUUUAAAACAUUCUAAUUGGUUUUCCUAGCAAAAAUUAGUACCAAGGAAAGUUAAAGGAGGUUCAAAUUGAAGUCCUCAUGCAGCAGGACUUGGGCCAGCCAGUAAUGGCCUCAGCUCUACCUUCCUACAACAGCCUUUCUACUACUGUGAACUGUCCUAGUACUUUGGCAUUUCACCUCCUUAGCAUGCUCCUGUUUUUAGCACAUGUCUAUAAAGGUCCAAAGGAAAUGUCCUGGGCUCUGAUGCCAGACAGCACCUCCCUUGCAGAUGGACAGCAAGCAUCUCCAAUCCUGGGUAGCAACCAGGAUGAGAAAAAAUAGCUGGAGUAGCCUCCCUUUUCCAGCUGCUCUCCAUCCUCAGCCUGUCUGGAGCACAGGGGUACCUUUUCUUACCUCUCGAUCUGAGGCUACCACAUUCUAGCACCUUACCAGCAGUGAGAAUGCCCACAGCUUAUGAAGUUUCCUUCUUCUGGCAUCUACGACUAUAUUGUCUGUCCUUCAAUAAGAAGAUUCUUAAUUUCUUCUAAUGUUAGGAAAACAUUAAUAUGGGCAAGCACUUUGCAGGAUAGGAAAACAACUCCAAGAAGUCCUCCUUUUGCUUCACUGAGCUGUUUUCUGCUUCUCUGCUAUUAGCAGUUCAGGAGUGACAACUGUUUGGCUCUUGGUGCACUGCAGAUCUGAACAGUAUGCACUUGUGACAUAAUGGUCAGUUCUAUCUGGUGAGAGUGAGAACUCACACAGCUUUUUUAAUAAAGGUUUUUCAGGAGCUGUAUGGACAUUUUUACAGUUGUUUUGAUUUGGGGUCACAGUGGUUGAUGUUGGCUUGGUUAUGGAACUGGAGCUAGAGGAUAGUAAUAUACUCACCACUAGCAAAGAUAUUUCAAAUUCCUUCACUGUGCCUAUUUGUUGUUUAAAUACAUUUUGCUUUUCUAUCUAAAGCAACCUUUUCUCUGGUUUGUCUUUUCUCAGCGGCAUCAAUAAUGUCCUGGAUGCAAGAUCAAUUGGAGUAAAAAGUUUUGAAGACUAUGCCAUUUCUUGGUACUGGAUUUUAAUGUAAGAUUCUAAUGGGUAUUUUUAUGUUUUUCCAAACUCACUUUGGAGUGUGUAGGGAAUUGAAAAAUAGAUCAUGUAUGUGUUUGUUACCAAACCUAGUUUUAAACUCUGCUGUAAUGUUGUUAUGGUUCUGUACAUGAGGUAAGGAUAGCACAGCAUACAUGCAUACAGUAUGGUCUGGAGUAGCUUUUUAAUAUCCUACCAGGCAGAAACCCAGGAGGUGCUGUCUUCUGUUGCAGGACCCAUCUGUGUGGUAGUUCCAAAGCUAAAAAAUCUUUUGAGACUUUUAAACCAAUUGCAAUUGCUAAAUGUCAUUAGUAUCUAUAUAAAACACAUCCCAAUUUCCAAAUUGAUAUUAGCAAUAUGUAGUUAAAUUCAUUAUAAUACAUAAAUCCAGUAUAACUCCACAAAUCCAGUGCAGCAGGCAAAGCAACUUAAAGAACAAAAACUACUGAACAGAGUUAGCUUUAUCUUGCAACUAUUACUCAAUAAUCAGCAAUUAGUAAAAAUGCAGCACCAAAACAAAAGAAGUAGCUAUUUUGCUGAAGCAAACACCUAAGUAUGUGCAUAAAUGGCCAUUCUCUCUAGAUCCCUUACUGAAAUCAGGCUUAUAGUGCAGAUUCUUUCAAAGGAGAUACUGCUCAACAGAUGGGCUGGAGAGAGAAUUGACCAUUUUCUGAAGAGAGUUUCUCAAUACUGAAGCCAGUU